UAUCCUUUAUGGUAUCCUAAUUGCUUCAUCAAAUUUGUAGGAGCAUUUCGAAUAUGCAUGGGAAUUUCAGCCCUGCCAGCAUCGGGAUGAGAAGACAAAAAACUUUUUACAGCAUUAUAUGAUCUGUAAACGUCAACUGAUUUUGGAGCUAAUGCUAAGGCGACGGCGCAAUGAGCUAGAAUUACAUCGGCUUCAGGCAUGCCAACUUGUUGAACAGCAGUAAAUGUACUGGAUGCUAGAGGUAGCAUAGAAUUAUCUGCUAUUCCAAUGUCUUCGCUUGCUAUUCUAACCAUUCUUCGUGCCACAUACAGUGGAUCUUCUCCAGACUCGAGCAUUCUACCCAGAUAGUAUAAAGUUGCAUCGACAUCAGAACCCCUUACUGAUUUAUGGAAGGCAGAAAUUGUAUCAUAAUGAACAUCACCUACUCUGUCGUAAAGUGCAGAAGAUCUGACUAGCUUGUCCUUAAUA